GUUUGCACCGUUAUUAACAUUUAGCUACACAAAACAAUUUUGUGUUUUUUUUAACAUGGACUCCCAUGAGGUCGCCAAAGUGAGGAAUAUUUUCCUUCUCUCCUCUGCAGGACAUUUUUGGCCUGUGAAACAUCUGGGGGGUGUCCAGCUGCUUCAGUGGUGGAGAAGUCUGAAGUUGCAGUUCAUAGACAGCAUGAGGAGAGCAAUGCACUGGAUUAGGUACCAUGUUGGAACAAGCAUGAAAUAAAUGUUCACAUUUUCCAUUUGUGAAGACAAAUCUGAGAUAUGUAUUUCCAAAAGAAGAAUUAAACAAAGCUGAAUGGUAGAACAAAAUUUACAGUGAUGUUUGGCAUUAUAUACUGCAUGGAAAAUGCUUUGAUUGGAAAUAAAACAAUGCAGAGAAAAUAUCACCAAAAACAAUAUUGAAACACCAUCUCUUCUACCCCCAUCUGAAGGCAGAAAAGAUGUACAAUUAGCCCCAAGCAUACUGCCUUUUUAUUGUCUUUAAAAACAUAGUGUUUUUUGAAAUUAAAAUCCUCUUUUGCAAGAGUGCCUAUACAGUGCUGUCUAG
ensembl:lncRNA